rnacentral:rRNA from 1 species
GAUGAACGCUGGCGGCGUGCCUAAUACAUGCAAGUCGAGCGAACGGACGAGAAGCUUGCUUCUCUGAUGUUAGCGGCGGACGGGUGAGUAACACGUGGAUACCCUACCUAUAAGACUGGGAUAACUUCGGGAAACCGGAGCUAAUACCGGAUGAUCUUUUGAACCGCAUGGUUCAAAAGUGAAAGACGGUCUUGCUGUCACUUAUAGAUGGAUCCGCGCUGCAUUAGCUAGUUGGUAGGGUAACGGCUUACCAAGGCAACGAUGCAUAGCCGACCUGAGAGGGUGAUCGGCCACACUGGAACUGAGACACGGUCCAGACUCCUACGGGAGGCAGCAGUAGGGAAUCUUCCGCAAUGGGCGAAAGCCUGACGGAGCAACGCCGCGUGAGUGAUGAAGGUCUUCGGAUCGUAAAACUCUGUUAUUAGGGAAGAACAUAUGUGUAAGUAACUGUGCACAUCGUGACGGUACCUAAUCAGAAAGCCACGGCUAACUACGUG